UUUCUCUAAAACUGUUACACUACUGAAUCCUGUCUCUCUAUAUAUACAAUACAACCCUAUUCCUCCCUGCAUCACAAAUUGUUUAGAUAAAGGGUUGCUAUAUAGCAAAUCAAAACAACAUAUCCAGAUGAGCAACCACAAUCAUCAACAACAGCCUUCAACUGCUGCUCCUGCCCCACAAGAGUCUCCAACAAAGGACAAGGACCUUGACACUCGAUCGGCAUGCCCGCCGCCAGGCGGUGCAGCACAGUUCGUUCAACCCCCUCUUACUCCCACUGAAGAAAUCGGUUGUCUUGAAAAAUGUUUAAUUGAUCUUUGUUGCUGUUGCAAACUUGACUUUUGCUGUUAAGUUUCGAAGAGACGUAUUUGGUUGCUGAAUCAAAGCAUUCUAGUUGGCAUCAACAGAGUCCUUGUCUAUAUGUUCUGUCAAUUCUAUACUAGAAAAUUAACAUUUGUUUAGAUUUUUCUUCAGACGAGUGCUCUUUGAGGAUGCGAAAAAUGUCUCAGUAAAAAUUAUGACAAUUGUUGUCAAUUCUGUAUCUUAAAUAUUAAUGCUUAAUUCACGUACAGGUUUUUGUAACUUUGAAUUUGAAGUGAUUAGAGCUCUAGGUUCUUUAUGUUU